CAUGAAGCCGGAAUCGCUAGUAAUCGCGGAUCAGAAUGCCGCGGUGAAUACGUUCCCGGGUCUUGUACACACCGCCCGUCACACCAUGGGAGCCGGGAAUGCCCGAAGUCAGUGGCCCAACCGAAAGGGGGGAGCUGCCGAAGGCAGGCCUGGUGACUGGGGUGAAGUCGUAACAAGGUACC
rnacentral:rRNA from 1 species